GCGGUAGUAGCUCAGUCGGUAGAGCACUAGCUUCCCAAGCUGGGGGUCGCGGGUUCGAGUCCCGUCUACCGCU
rnacentral:tRNA from 1 species